AGAUGGUUUAAAUGCAUCCUUUUCUAACCAUAUGACCUCGGACAAGUCCCUUAACCUCUAGGAUCCUCAGUUCCCUGACUUGUAAAAUAAGGAUAAUGCACCCCCUCAUCAAGACCAUGGUCAGGGAUUAAAUGAGAUGGGUAAAGACUAUUCCUGUCCCAAUACCAAGCACACACAGGUAUGCAAUAAGUGGUCUACUAUUAUCACUCCAGCUUAUCACCAGGACUGCCAUGUUCCCAGGGCUCCAGCCCCUGGAGAGGGAGAGGGCACAUCCUGGGUUUGCCGCCAGUGUGUCUUUGCGAUCGCCACCAAGAGGGGAGGUGCCCUGAAGAAGGGCCCCUAUGCCCGGGCCAUGCUGGGUAUGAAGCUCUCUCUGCCAUAUGGACUGAAGGGGCUGGACUGGGAUGCUGGACAUCUGAGCAACCGACAGCAGAGUUACUGUUACUGUGGUGGCCCUGGGGAGUGAGUAAUGAGAGGGGAGCAGACUGUGGAAUGAAUGAUGUGGUGGUGGAUCCCAGGAAAUGAAGGAAAAAGAACAGGAUGAGGGUAGCACUCAGGGGGAUGGGAGGUAAGUUUAGGGUUUGGGACAGUUAUGGGGAAGGGGGUUUCUGGAGGCCAGAAGUCCUGUGUUCCCCCUCAGGUGGAACCUGAAAAUGCUGCAGUGCCGGAGCUGCCUGCAGUGGUUCCAUGAGGCCUGCACCCAGUGUCUGAGCAAGCCCCUCCUCUAUGGGGACAGGUGAGACCAAGGCAGACUCUCUAGGAACCAAGGAUGCCCUCUUUCUUUGUGUUCCACCCUCAGUUCUCCCACGCCCUUCUCCACUCCAGUCUCUUCCCAACCUCUGCAGCGUU
rnacentral:sRNA from 1 species